AGAAUUCAGAGUUCACACAGGAAACUGAGAACAGAGUAACAGUGGAGAGGGCAGGGUGUCUGGGUGUGUGUAAGUGUAUCCUCUCGGUUGGGCGAUCAUUGACCAUGCCGAUGGUCGUUCUGAGAAUCAUUUUGUUUUUGCCUGCGGGAAAAUAGCUUCGCUACUUCGUACGUGAGUAAAAUAUUGAAGGUACGCCAAUAUUACAAUUAUAAUUUUAAAUAGAACGCAAAUAUCUUUACAGAGAUGUAUGAAUUGUGAUACUUCUGGAAAAAGAACCCUAAGCAUUGAUUGGGUAACAUGCUUUUAAAACAUGAAUUUC
rnacentral:lncRNA from 1 species